AGUCGUACGGGCCGCAAGGCCAGUGGCGCAAGGGUGAGUAAGGCGACGGUAACCAACCCCAUGGGUGGGUAUAGCCGCGGGAAACUGCGGGUAAUCCCCAGCGACGCACGAGGUCGGCAUCGAUCUUGUGCCAAAGCUCAGGCGCCGUGGGACGGGCCGUCGUGGUAUUAGGUAGUUGGGGGGGUAACGGCCCACCAAGCCGACGAUGCCUACCGGGCGUGCGAGCGUGGCCCGGCACACUGGGACUGAGACACUGCCCAGACUCCUACGGGAGGCUGCAGUCGAGAAUCUUCGGCAAUGGGCGCAAGCCUGACCGAGCGACGCCGCGUGGAGGAUGAAGGCCUUCGGGUUGUAAACUCCUGUCGAGGGGGAAGAAGUCCCGAGCGAUCGGGAUUGACUGAACCCUGGAGGAAGCACGGGCUAAGUUCGUGCCAGCAGCCGCGGUAAGACGAACCGUGCGAACGUUAUUCGGAAUCACUGGGCUUAAAGCGCGUGUAGGCGGAAGGGCACGUCCGCAGUUGAAAUCCCCCGGCUCAACCGGGGAAGUGGCGCGGAUACGACUCUUCUGGAGGGGCGUAGGGGGACCUGGAACUUCCGGUGGAGCGGUGAAAUGCGUUGAGAUCGGAAGGAACGCCCGUGGCGAAAGCGAGGUCCUGGACGCUUACUGACGCUGAGACGCGAAAGCCAGGGGAGCGAACGGGAUUAGAUACCCCGGUAGUCCUGGCCGUAAACGAUGGGCACUGGGUAGGGGGCUCGCCGAUGGGCCCCCUGCCGUACGAAAGCGUGAAGUGCCCCGCCUGGGGAGUAUGGUCGCAAGGCUGA
rnacentral:rRNA from 1 species